rnacentral:rRNA from 1 species
AAUCAACGCUGGCGGCGUGCCUCAGACAUGCAAGUCGAACGCGAAAGUUUCCUUCGGGGGAUGAGUAGAGUGGCGCACGGGUGAGUAACACGUAGGUAAUCUACCUCUGGAUGGGGAAUAACAAUCGGAAACGGUUGCUAAUACCGCAUAAUGCAGCGGCACCUAAUGGUGACAGUUGUUAAAGCGGGGGAUCGAAAGACCUCGCGUCUGAAGAGGAGCCUGCGGCGGAUAGCUAGUUGGUAAGGUAACGGCUUACCAAGGCGACGAUCCGUAGCCGGCCNGUUAGAGGGCGGUCGGCCACACUGACACUGACAUACGGGUCAGACUCCUACGGGAGGC